rnacentral:rRNA from 1 species
GUGGGGAAUUUUGGACAAUGGGCGCAAGCCUGAUCCAGCAAUGCCGCGUGCAGGAAGAAGGCCUUCGGGUUGUAAACUGCUUUUGUACGGAACGAAACGGUCCGGGUUAAUACCCUGGGCUAAUGACGGUACCGUAAGAAUAAGCACCGGCUAACUACGUGCCAGCAGCCGCGGUAAUACGUAGGGUGCAAGCGUUAAUCGGAAUUACUGGGCGUAAAGCGUGCGCAGGCGGUUUUGUAAGACAGGCGUGAAAUCCCCGGGCUCAACCUGGGAAUUGCGCUUGUGACUGCAAGGCUGGAGUGCGGCAGAGGGGGAUGGAAUUCCGCGUGUAGCAGUGAAAUGCGUAGAUAUGCGGAGGAACACCGAUGGCGAAGGCAAUCCCCUGGGCCUGCACUGACGCUCAUGCACGAAAGCGUGGGGAUCGAACAGGAUUAGAUACCCGUGUAGUCC